rnacentral:rRNA from 1 species
AGAACGAACGCUGGCGGCAUGCCUAAUACAUGCAAGUCGAACGAACACUUCGGUGUUAGUGGCGCACGGGUGCGUAACGCGUGGGAAUCUGCCCUUGGGUUCGGAAUAACAGUUGGAAACGACUGCUAGUACCGGAUGAUAUCGAAAGAUCAAAGAUUUAUCGCCCAGGGAUGAGCCCGCGUAGGAUUAGCUAGUUGGUGAGGUAAAGGCUCACCAAGGCGACGAUCCUUAGCUGGUCUGAGAGGAUGAUCAGCCACACUGGGACUGAGACACGGCCCAGACUCCUACGGAGGCAGCAGUAGGGAAUAUUGGACAAUGGGCGCAAGCCUGAUCCAGCAAUGCCGCGUGAGUGAUGAAGCCUUAGGGUUGUAAAGCUACUUUUACCCGAGUAUGAUAAUGACAGUAUCGGAAGAAUAAGCCCCCGGUACUAACGUCCGUGCCAGCGAAGCCCGC